rnacentral:rRNA from 1 species
AUUGAACGCUGGCGGCAGGCCUAACACAUGCAAGUCGAGCGAGCGGCGGACGGGUGAGUAAUGUCUGGGAACCUGCCUGAUGGAGGGGGAUAACUACUGGAAACGGUAGCUAAUACCGCAUACCAUCAGAUGUGCCCCGAUGGGAUUAGCUAGUAGGUGGGGUAACGGCUCACCUAGGCGACGGUCCCUAGCUGGUCUGAGAGGAUGACCAGCCACACUGGAACUGGGCAACGGUCCAGACUCCUACGGGAGGCAGCAGUGGGGAAUAUUGGACAAUGGGCGCAAGCCUGAUGCGGCCCUGCCGCGUGUGUGAAGAAGGCCUUCGGGUUGUAAAGCACUUUCAGCGGGGAGGCGUUACCCGCAGAAGAAGGACCGGCUAACUCCGUGCCAGCAGCCGCGGUAAUAC